rnacentral:misc_RNA from 1 species
GAUGAAGAACGCAGCGAAAUGCGAUAAGUAAUGUGAAUUGCAGAAUUCAGUGAAUCAUCGAAUCUUUGAACGCACAUUGCGCCCCUUGGUAUCCCGAGGGGCAUGCCUGUUCGAGCGUCAUUUCACUACUCAAGCCUGGCUUGGUGUUGGGCGACGUCCUCUUUGGGGACGCGCCUCGAAACGCUCGGCGGCGUGGCACCGGCUUUAAGCGUAGCAGAAUCUUUCGCUUUGGAAGUCGGGGCCCCGUCUGCCGGAAGACCUGCUCGCAAGGUUGACCUCGGAUCAGGCAGGGAUACCCGCUGAACUUAAGCAUAUCAAUAAGCGGAGGA